rnacentral:lncRNA from 1 species
GAAAAAUGGAAGAUAUUAGAAGAAAUGCUCUGCCAGUAGAACUACUAUUGCUGUGUCAUGUCUUUCACUUACCUAAAAUUAAUUGCAGGUUUAAAAUGCUUUAGUUUAAUGAAUAAACAGGACACAACCUCCAGUAUAUUUUAUUAACCUGGUUGUGCCUUGUUUUUCAAGAUAAUCUUUGAAAAUGUCGAAGAUGAGAUAUGUGUCUCUCCCAGCAGCAAAUGUGGAGCAGGAUGACAUGGGACGCAUCGCCUGUUCACACAGCCGCUCUCAAAGCCGUACAUCUCCUCAUCCCACAACCUGAGGAAACCAAAGCUUAGUGUGGCCAAGUCUUCAGUCAAAAAAGAAAGAC